AUUUACUGCAUUAAAUGAAUCUAUACAUAUAAAAGUAAAAUAGCACUCACACAUCAUCACAAAAUCUCCAGAACCAUAAAGCUUACAAACUUGAAAUUUGGCACAUAUGUUCCUCUUGGCUUCUUGGUGCUCACUAAGAAAGGAUUUUUUGAAAU